rnacentral:rRNA from 1 species
UACAGAGGUCUCAAGCGUUGUUCGGAUUUAUUGGGCGUAAAGCGCGCGUAGGCGGCGGGGUAAGUGAGGUGUGAAAUCCCGGAGCUUAACUCCGGAACUGCACUUUAUACUGCCUUGCUCGAGGGCUGGAGAGGAGACUGGAAUUUACGGUGUAGCAGUGAAAUGCGCAGAUAUCGUAAGGAAGACCAGUGGCGAAGGCGAAUCUCUGGACAGUUACUGACACUGAGGCACGAAGGCCAGGGGAGCAAACGGG